GCAGCUCACAUUCAGGCAUUCAGGGCUUGAAAGGAGCGGCUUAAGGAGCCUGACAGAGGCCCGGGAGCUCCUCCUACUCUUAAGGAGGCUCGGAUAGGGAGCCCCUGCUCGCGCACAGAACCAGCGGGCAGGCCUCAGGGGCAGCUGUUUGCAUCCGGCUCGGUCAUGGGCCUUUUUGUUUGGUUCUUUUUCCUUUUUUCCUUUUUGUGGAAAUUUUAUUAAUUCUUCCUGGCCCCAAUCUGUGCCGUCGAUUGGGUUCAGAAUUUAGCUUGUUUUUCGAGCUCCCCAUCUUUGAGUCCUGAGCAUCCUAGGGGGGAGAGAGAAAUCAGAGGACUUAAUGUGGGACUUUGAAACUUAAAAAAACCCCACAAAACCCAAAAGCACACAAGAAAGAGGCACACACUUUAGUUAGGGGGGUGCUGAUGAGAUAUUUACAACCUAGCCCCCCAAGUGCCCGGGUCCCAAUUUGCUGAUCUGGCAGGUAUGGUCCUUGAGCCAGCAUCCUCGUCGAUUGCAAGAAAUCCAAUCAACCAAAUUAAUUUUUUAGGAAUAUACAUUUCUAACAUGGACAGUGAUGAAAAAAUAACAGCAUUAAAAAUCUUUAGGAAUGUUGAGCAGUACCAUCUGGCCGCAGUCACAACAUAAAAGAGGGGCUAAGUUGGCACGCACCGAGGUUUCUAUUAAACUGUAAGUUUCCGUCUGUCGCAGGCUCUGAGGGGAGCCGCUGGGCACAGCAGCCUCUGCAGCCCCGGCGCGGGAGUCGGCGAGCUACCUUAACUGCGGCGCAACGCAGCCUUCCACCGCCAGAGGCAGCGGGCGUCUGCGGCCUGUCAAAAACUGGCGCUUUUUUCCUCCCCUUUCCGUGGAGAGACUAUCAACUCCAUCUGUCACAAAAAUUAAGGCUAAAUCUCCUCUCCAGAAGCAGAGGGAGCCGGGGCUCCAGUGAGCGCAGAAUCGGGCGGUCUGCCUCUGCCCGGAGGCCAAGUGAAUUUGAAAUGGCAAAAGUCAGAUCCCAGCCGCAGCCCACGCGGAGUGAGCAGGCUGCGGGAUAGUCUGCUCCAGAGCCGGCUGCUGCGUCCCCCAGGCGCGGGCUCUGCACCUCUGCCACCGCCAAAACUAAGCGAAAGAGACCUUGAAAGGACCAGGUUGAGAGGCAAGUAAGUUGUUAGAUGCGGGAACUUAAGGACUCGUCACCGUGUGAGGACUGAUGCAGAUGUAAAGAAAACCUCCUGAUUCUUCAAAGAACGUCGUUAAGAACUCCAAGAUGCAGAAGGGCAGCACGACCCAGCUUUCUCCGUCGCCCUCGGAGCAGGCAGAGCAGCUGUCCUCGAAGGGGCAGGACUCAAUCGAGAUCCCGGCUGAGUGUCAGCAUGGGAACAACCGGAGGAAACCCCGCCAAAGCAGCAGGCUCUCCCGUCCUCUGCAAACUCGACGUUCAUACCUUCCGAAGACGCGAUAUUCGUGGCACAGAGGGUUAAAGCCCUAACAGCCCAGCGGAGUCCGGCGAGGCACAGGCCGCGCCGCAGGUGGGCGGGACCGGUUUGUACCCUGAUGUUUCCAAGACGCGCCUCGUCCGCGUUUGGACGGACGCCGGACGUUCUCCAGGGACGGCGGGCUCUCCAACGGGUGGUGGAGAAUGUUUCAAAGCCAUGCCAGGCCUUGUUUUAAAAUCGUGUUUUUCACUAUUGAAAUAAGGAAGAAACUUUUUCAUAACUACUUCAUAAUUCUGGACAAACUGUUCUCUAAAUAAAAAUAGCAGAAUUUGUAAAGACA